ACACCCAGACACACUGUCUCUUCCUUCCGUGUGUGUUGACAGAUGUGACAGGAGAGCCAUCCUGACCUGCGUCUCUGGUGGAGGGUGCACAACAUCAGCUGCAUGCAGGGAGUGGUCUGCGAGGCUGGGGCUAGGAAUGGGAUCGUCUCCCUGUGGUAUUGCUGCUUUGAGCUUCAUCUAUGCGUGUGUCCCAUGAGCAAACUAAACAAAUGGAAGGCUUCUGCUAAGCUUCGACUCUCACAAAACUCAGCUCCUUGCCUCCAACGAAUCAACAGCCACAAACCCCGUGCAGGCUGGCAUUGGAAAAAAACUCGGCUGAACUUCUCUGGUGUUGCAGUUUGA
rnacentral:lncRNA from 1 species